GGACGAACGCUGGCGGCGUGCCUAACACACGCAAGUCGAGCGGGGAUGUAUGGAGGAAGUUUUCGGAUGGAAUCGAUACAUUCUAGCGGCGGACGGGUGAGUAACGCGUGAGCAACCUGCCUUUCACAGGGGGAUAACGGAUCGAAAGAUUCACUAAUACCGCAUGAGACCACGAUACCGAGUGGUAUAGGGGUCAAAGGAGCAAUCCGGUGAAAGAUGGGCUCGCGUCCGAUUAGGUAGUUGGUGGGGUAAUGGCUCACCAAGCCAAUGAUCGGUAGCCGACCUGAGAGGGUGAUCGGCCACACUGGAACUGAGAGACGGUCCAGACUCCUACGGGAGGCAGCAGUGGGGAAUAUUGGGCAAUGGGGGAAACCCUGACCCAGCAACGCCGCGUGAGGGAAGAAGGUUAUCGGAUUGUAAACCUCUGUCCUUGGUGAAGAGCAGAAGACGGUAUCCAAGGAGGAAGCCCCGGCUAACUACGUGCCAUCAGCCGCGGUAAUACUUAGGGGGCGAGCGUUGUCCGGAAUGAUUGGGCGUAAAGGGCGCGUAGGCGGCUUGUUAAGUCUGGAAUGGAAGUCCUCUUUUCAAGGGAGGAAUUGCUUUGGAAACUGGCGGGCUUGAGUGCUGAGAGGUUAUCGGAAUUCCCGGUGUAACGGUGAUAUGCGUAGAGAUCGGGAGGAACACCAUGGCUAAUGCGGGUAACUGGACUGCUACUGACCGCUGAUGCGCGAAAGUGUGGGGAGUAACAGGAUUAGAUACCCUUGGUAGUCCACACUGUUAUACGAUGAGUGCUAGGUUUUAGGAGGUAUCGACCCCUUUCUGUGCCGUAGUAAACGCAUUUAGCACUCCGCCGUGGGGAAUACCGUCGCAGAUAAAAACUCAAAGGAAUUGACGGGGUGCCCUCUCAUCCAGCGAACAUGU
rnacentral:rRNA from 1 species